ACUGCCUGGACAAUGUCAACAGAAAGGAGAAAAACAUGAAAAUGAACAAAAUCUGGCUACCGGUAUUUUUUUUUUAAAAAAAACUCUAAAAUUAGGGCAGUAAAUAAAGAACAACACUCUGAAAACGGGAAUUCCAGACAAGAAACAAUCAAGGCCAGUUAACCAAUCCCAACAAAGGAUUGCCCCAGGCAGAAAACAGCCAAGCUUUGAAGCUGCAAGGCUAUUCAAUGCCAAUCAAGGAGGCCAAUUUGCAACAUUCACACUUGCCUCAGGCAGACAAGAGUUCUUUCUCCCAACCUGGACAUCAUUCUACAGAGAUAUAAACCCCACUUGUCUAGUUUCCAACAGAACUCACAACCUCUGAGGAUGCCUGCCAUAGAUGCAGGCGAAACGUCAGGAGAAAAUGCUUCUGGGACAUGGACAGACAGCCCGGAAAACUCAGAGCAACCCCGUGAUUUCGGCCGUGACAACACAAUUGGGAUCUCAUUCUCACCCCGAUAUUUUUAUUACCUCAUCCUAUGAUUAAAACCUCUACUCACUUCGUCCCUUCAAGUCUCCUCGACGCUUCGUCCCUUCAGACGUGUCCUCUUGCCCUCCGCUCCUCCCAUUGGCCAGCCGGGCCGUCACGUGCUCGCCGCCCUCUCUCCCGAUUGGCACAAAGCCGAUCGCUUCUUCUUCUUCUCCGCCGCAAACCCCGCCCAUUUCCUCAUCCCGGGCGUCCUAUUGGUGGGUUCUCUUUUUUUUUUUCUUCUUUCCAGCGGAAGAAGAUUGAACUUUUUAGCGACCCGUAGCCGCCUCGCUUCGAAAGGGGACGCCGGGUUUUGCGACAGUGUGGUAAAAUUUGGGUCUGAGGCGGAGAGGAAGAAGGGAAACAAGGCUGAAGGGAGCCGAGGAUGUUCGGGGCCGCCGAGGAGGAUGACACGGACUUUCUGUCUCCGACGGGAGGGACUCGCCUGGCUUCUCUCUUUGGACUGGAUCAGACAGUCACCGGUAGCGGAAAUGAAUUUUUCCAGUAUACAGCACCCAAACAACCUAAGAGAGGUCAACCAGCUGCUGGUGAAUAACUACUUUUACCACCUCUGAUGCUUUUGUACAAAAAAAGAACACUUCCGUUGACUUUGUGUUGGAAUUAGACCUUAAUUUAUACUUUUAUUGGCUAUUUAAGAUAGUC
rnacentral:lncRNA from 11 species